UACGGGAGGCAGCAGUGGGGAAUAUUGCACAAUGGGCGAAAGCCUGAUGCAGCUAUGCCGCGUGUAUGAAGAAGGCCUUAGGGUUGUAAGUACUUUCAUCGGGGAGGAAAAACAAAACUAAUAAUUUUAUUUCUUGACGUUACCCGAAAAAGAAGCACCGGCUAACUCCGUGCCAGCAGCCGCGGUAAUACGGAGGGUGCUAGCGUUAAUCAGAAUUACUGGGCGUAAAGAGCACGUAGGUGGUUUUUUUAAGUCAGAUGUGAAAUCCCUGGGCUUAACCUAGGAACUGCAUUUUGAAACUGAAAUACUAGAGUAUCGUAGAGGGAGGUAGAAUUCUAGGUGUAGCGGUGAAAUGCGUAGAUAUCUGGAGGAAUACCUGUGGCGAAAGCGGCCUCCUAAACGAAUACUGACACUGAGGUGCGAAAGCGUGGGGAGCAAACAGGGAUUAGAUACC
rnacentral:rRNA from 1 species